rnacentral:rRNA from 1 species
AUGAAGAUGGCGACCUGCAUUCGUAAGGUGGCCUCGGAGGAGUUUGGAGUGUCCAGGGGAAGGAGAAGCGAAGAUAAGGAUACCUGGUGGUGGAAUGAUGAUGUCCAGAAGGCGCUUAAAGAGAAGAAAGAUUGCUUCAGACGCCUAUACCUGGAUAGGAGUGCAGACAACAUAGAGAAGUACAAGAUGGCGAAGAAGGCCGCAAAGCAAGCUGUUGGUGAAGCAAGGGGUCGGGCAUAUGAGGACCUCUACCAACGGUUAGGCACGAAGGAAGGUGAAAGGGACAUCUAUAAGAUGGCUAAGAUCCGGGAGAGGAAGACAAGGGAUAUUGGCCAAGUCAAAUGCAUCAAGGACGGAGCAGGCCAACUCUUGGUGAAGGACGAAGAGAUUAAGCAUAGAUGGCGGGAGUACUUCGACAAGCUGUUCAAUGGGGAGAAUGAGAGUUCUACCAUUGAACUGAAUGACUCCUUUGAUGAGACCAGCAUGCAUUUUGUGCGGCGCAUCCAGGAGUCUGAGGUGAAGGAGGCUUUAAAAAGGAUGAAAGGAGGCAAGGCGAUGGGCCCUGAUUGUAUCCCCAUUGAGGUGUGGAAAGGUCUCGGGGACAUAGCGAUAGUAUGGCUAACCAAGCUUUUCAACCUCAUUUUUCGGGCAGACAAGAUGCCAGAAGAAUGUAGACGGAGUAUAUUAGUACCAAUCUUCAAGAACAAGGGGGAUGUUCAGAGUUGUACUAAUUACCGUGGAAUUAAGCCGAUGAGCCAUACAAUGAAGCUAUGGGAGAGAGUCAUUGAGCACCGCUUAAGAAGAAUGACAAGCGUGACCAAAAAUCAGUUUGGUUUCAUGCCUGGGAGGUCGACCAUGGAAGCCAUUUUCUUGGUACGACAACUUAUGGAGAGAUAUAGGGAGCAUAAGAAGGACUUGCAUAUGGUGUUCAUUGACUUGGAGAAGGCCUAUGAUAAGAUACCGCGGAAUGUCAUGUGGUGGGCCUUGAAGAAACACAAAGUCCCAGCAAAGUACAUUACCCUCAUCAAGGACAUGUACAAUAAUGUUGUGACAAGUGUUCGAACAAGUGAUGUCGACACCGAUGACUUCCCGAUUAAGAUAGGACUGCAUCAGGGGUCAGCUUUGAGCCCUUAUCUUUUUGCUUUGGUGAUGGAUGAGGUCACAAGGGGUAUACAAGGAGAUAUCCCAUGGUGUAUGCUCUUUGCGGAUGAUGUGGUGCUAGUUUACGAUAGUCGGACGGGGGUAAAUAGGAAGUUAGAGUUAUGGAGACAAACUUUGGAAUCGAAAGGGUUUAGGCUUAGUAGAACUAAAACCGAGUACAUGAUGUGCGGUUUCAGUACUACUAGCUGUGAGGAGGAGGAGGUUAGCCUUGAUGGCCAGGUGGUACCUCGAAAGGACACCUUUUGGUAUUUGGGGUCAAUGUUGCAGGAGGAUGGGGGUAUUGAUGAAGAUGUGAACCAUCGAAUCAAAGCCGGAUGGAUGAAGUGGCGCCAAGCUUCUGGCAUUCUCUGUGACAAGAGAGUGCCACAAAAGCUAAAAGGCAAGUUCUACAGGACGACGGUUCGACCCGCAAUGUUGUAUGGCACGGAGUGUUGGCCGACUAAAAGGCGACAUGUUCAACAGUUAGGUGUGGCGGAGAUGCGUAUGUUGAGAUGGAUGUGUGGCCACACGAGGAAGGAUCCAGUCCGGAAUGAUGAUAUACGAGAUAGAGUUGGGGUAGCACCAAUUGAGGAGAAGCUUGUCCAACAUCGUUUGAGAUGGUUUUGGCAUAUUCAGCGCAGGCCUCCAGAAGCUCCAGUGCAUAGCGGACGGCUAAGGCGUGCGGAGAAUGUCAAGAGAGGGCAGGGUCGACCGAUUUUGACAUGGGAGGAGUCCGUUAAGAGAGACCUGAAGGAUUGGAGUAUCGACAAAGAGCUAGCUAUGGACAGGGGUGCGUGGAAGCUUGCUAUCCAUGUGCCAGAGCCAUGA